rnacentral:rRNA from 1 species
GACGAACGCUGGCGGCGUGCUUAACACAUGCAAGUCGAACGGAAAGGCCCUGCUUUUGUGGGGUGCUCGAGUGGCGAACGGGUGAGUAACACGUGAGUAACCUGCCCUUGACUUUGGGAUAACUUCAGGAAACUGGGGCUAAUACCGGAUAGGAGCUCCUGUUGCAUGGUGGGGGUUGGAAAGUUUCGGCGGGUGGGGAUGGACUCGCGGCUUAUCAGCUUGUUGGUGGGGUAGUGGCUUACCAAGGCAUUGACGGGUAGCCGGCCUGGGAGGGGGACCGGCCACAAUGGGACUGAGAGACGGCCCAGACUCCUACGGGAGGCAGCAGUGGGGAAUAUUGCACAAUGGGCGGAAGCCUGAUGCAGCAACGCCGCGUGCGGGAUGACGGCCUUCGGGUUGUAAACCGCUUUCGCCUGUGACGAAGCGUGAGUGACGGUAAUGGGUAAAGAAGCACCGGCUAACUACGUG